rnacentral:rRNA from 1 species
UACGUAGGGGCAAGCGUUGUCCGGAAUCAUUGGGCGUAAAGAGCGUGUAGGCGGCCAGACAGGUCAGCUGUGAAAACUCGAGGCUCAACCUCGAGACGUCGGUUGAAACCGUCUGGCUAGAGUCCGGAAGAGGAGAGUGGAAUUCCCGGUGUAGCGGUGAAAUGCGCAGAUAUCGGGAAGAACACCCGUGGCGAAGGCGGCUCUCUGGGACGGUACUGACGCUGAGACGCGAAAGCGUGGGGAGCGAACAGG